GACAGGUGGCGGAGCGGUUGAACGCGCCGGUCUCGAAAACCGGUAUAGCCUUCGGGCUAUCGUGGGUUCGAAUCCCACCCUGUCC
rnacentral:tRNA from 1 species